AGCGGACUGUUGCAAAUACAAACGACACCUGAGCUUGGGUAUGUUGAUGAUGAUGUUGUCAUAUGCUCCCCCAGAAGUUUUGUUGAGGCUAGGGAGAAUGCUAGAAGGAACCGUGGGGUGGUAGAGGUGAUUGAUGCAGAAAGGGAUUUUCGAAGAGGCCAUUCAGAAUCAGCAGUGGUAUUAUUUCCUGGUGGCAACAACCGGCGCAAAGGAGGUUCAACAAAACGUGCAAAUGUCAAUGGUGACCUUUGCAUAAACUUAGAAAGCAAUGAGAAUGCCUAGAGUAACAAUGUUUGUGAAGCUCUAGAAGUAUACCAGAGUGUUCCCCCGCCAAAGGCACCUAGCUUUAGUUGCCCAGUUUGCAUGGGCCCAUUUGUUGAAGAAACAUCUACCAAGUGCGGUCAC